UACAUGGUGAUGGACGUUCUUAGC
rnacentral:siRNA from 1 species